rnacentral:rRNA from 1 species
ACUCCUACGGGAGGCAGCAGUGGGGAAUAUUGGACAAUGGGGGCAACCCUGAUCCAGCCAUGCCGCGUGAGUGAAGAAGGCCCUAGGGUCGUAAAGCUCUUUCAACUGUGAAGAUAAUGACGGUGAGCAGUAGAACCGAACCCGCAUACUCCGUGCCAGCAGCCGCGGUAAUACGGAGGGGUUAGCGUUGUUCGGAAUUACUGGGCGUAAAGCGCACGUAGGCGGACUAUUAAGUUAGAGGUGAAAUCCCAGGGCUCAACCCUGGAACUGCCUUUAAUACUGGUAGUCUUGAGUUCGAGAGAGGUGAGUGGAAUUCCGAGUGUAGAGGUGAAAUUCGUAGAUAUUCGGAGGAACACCAGUGGCGAAGGCGGCUCACUGGCUCGAUACUGACGCUGAGGUGCGAAAGUGUGGGGAGCAAACAGGAUUAGAUACCCUGGUAGCUACGAG